GAAAUACAAUUUGGUAAAACAUCAAUAACACCACAGCCCGGAUUAGUUGCAGUAACUCGAUAAGGAAAAAGAUAAACGUCUAAUCCAACAGAGUUAAAAAUAUUUUUGAACAUUGCAAUUAAUUGGAGUGUUAAGACAUCUUGUCUGCAAUCAUCACCAACCUUGAAGAUGGCCGAUUGCCAAACUUCAUAAGUUUGUUUCUUAGCCGAAUCGCCGGCUUCUUCUUCUGUACCAUUCACCGCCAAUUCCUCAGGGUCAGCAUCAACCAACUUUUCUUUGCGUAUUUUAAAUGUUGCCAUGAAAGGAGCUUUAGCAUGACUUUGAAGAGGCUUUCCCGACUUUCUAUCUAUUCCUACGAUUACA